AUACGUAGGGUGCGAGCGUUGUCCGGAAUUACUGGGCGUAAAGAGCUCGUAGGUGGUUUGUCGCGUCGUCUGUGAAAUCCCGGGGCUUAACUCCGGGCGUGCAGGCGAUACGGGCAUAACUUGAGUACUGUAGGGGAGACUGGAAUUCCUGGUGUAGCGGUGAAAUGCGCAGAUAUCAGGAGGAACACCGGUGGCGAAGGCGGGUCUCUGGGCAGUAACUGACGCUGAGGAGCGAAAGCAUGGGUAGCGAACAGGAUUAGAUACCCUGGUAGUCCAUGCCGUAAACGGUGGGCGCUAGGUGUAGGGGUCUUCCACGACUUCUGUGCCGUAGCUAACGCAUUAAGCGCCCCGCCUGGGGAGUACGGCCGCAAGGCUAAAACUCAAAGGAAUUGACGGGG
rnacentral:rRNA from 1 species